UCCUCGGUGGCUCAGGCGGUUAGAGCGUCUGCCGUAUAAGCAGGAGGUCCCGGGUUCGAGUCUCGGUCGGGGCA